CCGGUGCCAAGCGUGAUAGACUAGGGUUCCUAUCUCCGCUGCCGCCCUCCCUCUCGGACACAUAGUUCCCUUGCCGUCGGCCACCUCCCAUUGUCACCUCCUCCUACCGUUGGAUUCCGCCCCUUACAGGUUCCCCUCGGCCCCUCUCAUCGAUUCUGUAACCGUCGUCAGCCUCGCCCCCCUUUACGUUUGCUUGUCCGCUGUGUCACGCCAGAUGCGGAGGUACAAUUUUCGUGUGCGAGACCGCCUGGUGAAGCACGAUGGAGGCCGGCGCUGGUUGCGGGCAAGCUCACUAGGGCAGGCACAUGGGAGGCCGGUUUUGGUAACCGGAGGAGGAAGCGGUUGCGAGGCGGAGGUCGGGAGGAGUUGGGGCAGGGAGCGCACUGGAGGGAGGUAGGGAGGGAGGGAGAGGCUGGCGGCGGCGGCGAGGGAGACCACGUCGAUGUGGGGAAUUUGGGCGGCACUCAUACAGUAAGAGAAUUCAUGUGCCAGAUCACAAUUCUGUUAACUUUGAAUCAUACAUGGGUUGGACUGGAGCAUUUUAAUUUCAGCAUUAGGAAACACCAUCCGCUACCCUUUAAGAAAUUUUUCUUCUUAGUUGUUCGCUACUUAUAUGACACUACUUAUGUGACAGUCGUGUCUUUUUAGCCAUGUGCAUACUCAGUCUGAUUGAGAUACUGCUAAUCAUUAAAUUCCCAGUACUUGUGACUCAGCUUAUUUACAAUCUUCAGUUCGCAUAAUCUUCAGGACCUUUGCGUCUCUGUAAAUAUAUGUAUUGGGUUUCUGCAUCAAGUGUUUGAUUGUUUGUCUAGAUUAUUGUUCCGCAGAGUAUUAUUUUCAAGAAAUAGUUGUUCCCAGUUUUACCGAUAGUUAUUGUUGCCUUCUGGUAAAAAUGGACCAAACAGUAUCUCAACAUGAUGUCUCCACAUCAAUGAGAUCCUCCGGGUCUCCCUAUGCUUAAAACAUCUACCUGUUCAGGAUCUUUUGUUUUUUUUUUCGUUCAGGCAUGUGGAGGAAAUUUUUGCUACAAAGUGUAUCCAAUUGAGUUCUAGAGUUUUGAGGUGUGCUGUUUUUGUUCACAUGACAAUUGGGAAGACCUGACGAACCAUCAAGAUUUUGCUUUGUAACUAUAUAUGUCCAAGUAAUUGUGAUGAAUUCCUAAAAAAAGUAAAUGUGAUGAAUAGAAGGUUGCUUCCAUCUUUUCUGUUAUAUCUUGCAGGUUGUUCUCAGAGUAAUGCAGCGUUACAAGAAGUUAUGUGGUUGCAGUUCUUUUAUGAGAACAAUGGCGGUGGACCUUCAAAGUAGUGAAGGUAGAAAACUUUGCAUCUUCAUAUAGUUAUUAUAGUGAUGUAACAGAAAGAAUUCCUUUAUUUCUCCUGAUUGUAACUUAUGAUUGUAUCGCUCCAAUAAUGUUAAUCUUAUAUAUGGAACUAAUGUUAAGUUUAUUUCUGGUGGUCUCUUUGAGUUAGCUUGCGUUUUAUGUUCCGACUAUACAAAAUGACUAAAAAGUUACAUGCCUCAGCGAAAAUCGGCGCAGCGAAGCACGCGUUAGCUUCUAGUCACCAAUGAUGUUUCAACUCAAAAACAUGUCUGAGUUGGUCAUUUUAAUUGUAUUGUCUUGUCAUUGAUCAUCAAAAUCUGAUUCCAAAAAAAAAAUCAUCAAAAUCUGACAGUGAGCACGGCUCGAUCGUAAUCCCAUUUACGUUAUAAAGCUCUCAAUUUCCCACGCAAAAGAAAAUUUUAAAAGUAAAGCUCCCAAUUUCUAGAAAAAAUUACUACUCCAUUCUCCAUCCUCCAAACAAGAGCGCCAUUCCAACCUCCAGUUUAGUCUAAGCC
rnacentral:lncRNA from 1 species